rnacentral:rRNA from 1 species
UACGUAGGGCGCAAGCGUUAUCCGGAAUUAUUGGGCGUAAAGAGCUCGUAGGCGGUUUGUCGCGUCUGCCGUGAAAAUCCGGGGCUCAACCCCGGACUUGCAGUGGGUACGGGCAGACUAGAGUGUGGUAGGGGAGACUGGAAUUCCUGGUGUAGCGGUGAAAUGCGUAGAGAUCGGCAGGAACACCCAGGGGGAAACCAGCCGACUGGGCAUCUACUGACGCUGAGGUGCGAGAGCGUGGGGAGCGAACCGG